UUUAGUACCGAGUAGCUGCAAGCGCAAAGAGUACUCACUGCACUGGUAGUCCCACAUUCCAGAGGAAUCUCCCAUCAACUCAGCUAUCGGAAUGUUGGUACUGGGAAAACAGCUAAGGAAUGUCUUCAGUGUAAAAAUUGUCUAAUUGCGGGAUUUUAACUGAUGGAAUGGAGACAUUGGCUAUCUGGGAUGUCACGAAAUUAUGAAAAAUUAUUUAUUGCUGACUUACUACUUGCGCCUGCAUCUGGAACUCAGGCUCUAGGAGUUGGAGAAGUUGAAGGAGAAGUUGGAUUGCUGUGAAUUUAAAAAUAAAAAAUUUUAAUAAGAGAAUUAUUUAAAAUUAAAUUUUUUAACGAACCUGUAAAAUUUCAAAUU